GUGCGACAUUUAUAUAUCCGACGUGGGAUCUUUAAAGUCGAGUACACAGUCGUGCGAGAUCGUGUGUAACAUCGUGUGCUGUCUCCACAGUUGUGUUUCAUUGAAAUCGUUAUUCUUACUAUUUGUUCUCGAAAAAGCACGAAUAAAAUCCGUGUCAUUUGAAGCAAAACCGAGUUUUCCCGAUUUUUAUGUUCCCAAGGGAUCUCACGAAUUUCUAUGGUUCGCGCGUCACGAGCUCGCAAAUAUUUGAGCUGUUUAUUUGAGCCAAAUUAACACCGUGGAACAAAAAGUAAAGGACAUUGAUAAAAUUAUAUCAAUCGAGUGCUUUGGGACUAAAAUUUUCGAAAUGUAAAAAUAAUCCACUUCGACCUGUGAAUGGCUCGUUUAUUAGAUAUUAUCGCGAAACGAAGCAAGGAAGAACUCAUAAUUGGAGAAGAACAUCCAGGAGGAACGAUCGCCAAGUCUGUUGGAAGAGUAGUAUGACGCAUGAUCGUUAGCUUGAGGACAUAAGACAUCACUAUGACGUAACUGAGCUAGGCGAGAAGACUGCGCGUCCUUGCGCUACUCGCGGCACUUGGGCCAAUUAAAGCAUUCAAGAGACUAAUCAAUUGUAUACCGACAAGUUGUUUGCAAGGGCUUAUAAAAAGAAGCGGAGAAAACGAGCUACGAUCGUUUCGUCGACGAUCUUCUUCCUUGAACAUGAUCGACUGUAGCACUUGUUGGCAAGAUGAAAGAGAUCCGUAACUGUGAGCCAAUCCCUGUGGCACCAGAGAUGGAAAGGAUGCUACAUUUUCUCGAUUAGAACCCAAUAAGUUACUCCUCUCGUUUACGUAUUCCAUCGAAACCAGAAUUUCGAGUUAUCCACAAAAGUGUUAAAUUGAUCGUGAAAAAUAUUACUCGAGGGAAUCCUUGGAGCUUUGACACGUGAAUGACAGACGGCAUUGUGCGUUGAGAUUAAUCCUAUGAUAAUCGACGAACACAUCGACCGUGAAUCUUCCCUCUGGCAGCGACUUCACACCCCCUUUGUGCUACAAAGAGGAAGUUAAAGUUCGACUCUUCUGGCACACGAUUCAAUCUUCGAGGGAAUCGAAACGGUAAAUCACUGUCGCACCCAGUGUUCUUCGUGUAUUGGCACACUGUCGAAGAAAGCAAUGAUGAUGGUUGGAUCGAGAAGAUAGCUGUAUACAAGAUCAUGAAAGCAUUUGACCGUCUGUAGACGAUAUUGAAUCGUUGUCGAAGAAAGGAAUGAUAAUGAUUGAUCGCGAAGGAAGAUUCGAAGCUAUGUACAAGAUUAUGAAAGUAUUUGAUCGCCUGUACACAAUAUUAAAUCGUCAAUUGAAGAAUGAAAUGAUGAUGAUUGAUCAAGAAAGAAAAUUCGAAGAUAAAAGUAUUCGAAUACUUGUAGACACCUUAUUAUUAAUACGAAUAUAUUAGAUGCGUUAUUUGGAACAUUUUGAAAUUUCAUUAACAUAAUGAGACUCGACUAUCAUGAUUAUAUUGGUAACGUUUGGAACCUGUUUGAAAAUAUGUGUAGAAAAUACAAGGUGUUUGAUGCAAGUAUAUAUUUUGUACAGAUUAGAAAAAGCGUAACAAGCAUCAGAAUUUACAGAAUAAGUUAUAUAUUAUAUGAGUAAAUUUCAAUAAAACGAUAUUUAAUUUAUUAUCAAGUUAUUAUUAUGCUCAAGGUGGCUUCUCAUACUGUAUAUUAAUUUUUCUUUAAAUAUAUGUUUGCAGUAAAUACCAUUCACAUCAAUCAAUAUCAAUACAUCAAUCGUGACAGUCUCAUUACAAUGCUAAUGGAAUUUAAAAAAUGUUUUAUAUAACACAUACGAUGUACAGUGCCGUGAAUAAUUAUAAACACUAAACUCUAUUUAUACAUUUUUCAUAAUAUUAAAACAAUAAUU
rnacentral:lncRNA from 1 species